rnacentral:rRNA from 1 species
CCUACGGGCGGCUGCAGUGGGGAAUAUUGGACAAUGGGCGAAAGCCUGAUCCAGCCAUGCCGCGUGUGUGAAGAAGGCCUUCGGGUUGUAAAGCACUUUCAGUGGGGAAGAAAGCCUUGGGGCUAAUACCCUCGAGGAAGGACAUCACCCACAGAAGAAGCACCGGCUAACUCCGUGCCAGCAGCCGCGGUAAUACGGAGGGUGCGAGCGUUAAUCGGAAUUACUGGGCGUAAAGCGCGCGUAGGCGGUCUGAUAAGCCGGUUGUGAAAGCCCCGGGCUCAACCUGGGAACGGCAUCCGGAACUGUCAGGCUAGAGUGCAGGAGAGGAAGGUAGAAUUCCCGGUGUAGCGGUGAAAUGCGUAGAGAUCGGGAGGAAUACCAGUGGCGAAGGCGGCCUUCUGGACUGACACUGACGCUGAGGUGCGAAAGCGUGGGUAGCAAACAGGAUUAGAUACCCUGGUAGC